UCUCAUGCCCUUAGCAGUAUUAUGUUGACGUUUAUUUUUUGCGUGUCUUCUCCCAUUACGAUGGCGCCAUGAUGCUGUGUUGUGUGGAUGUGUACGAAUAAAAACUACACUCAGCUUAUCAGUAAUUCUUUAGCUCAUUGGCCUAACAUUAUCGUGUUAGUAAGGGAUAAUUAUCGUGGUAGCUGGAAUAUCGCCGAGUGCUGCUGUUGCACUGCAGCGCCCUUUAUUAUCAAACGGUGCUCUCGCUGCACCCGCAACCGUUAACCGGGCUGUAUCCGCUGCCUCUCUCGCUGCCACCACCUCCCUCGUUGCCUGCCCAUAUUUCUGUAUUUGUCGGGAAACGUUUUGGAAAUGCGGUGACAGCAAGGUGAACUUGUGGCCGUUGGAUAAUCAGCCUGGUAUUAUUGUGAAGGGAGUCAGUAUGCUGGAUAUGACCGGAUCGGAUGUUAAUGUGCUUCCCAAUUGGCCCCCAACGCAUAAUUUUCCCGAUCUGCAGUUAAUAUUCCUCUCCCUUACGGUAUUUGAUGGGUCCAGCCGCUGUCGAGAGUUGGAAUGCCUGGAAAACCUGGGUCUGCGCGUCAUUGCCAAUCGUUGUCCUGCAGGUUUACGUAGCGGUUGUGGAUAUCCUCCGUGCUGUACGUGGACUACCGCAACGACAGCCUCAUUUCGACCAGGCUGGAAGCCUAGCACACCGCCGUUUACAACUGGCACCGAAUCAUGGUCAACAACCACUCCUUCACGUGACAAGGAGUACAGCACGCGCGCCAUGACUCCCGCAGGCGGUGAUGAUAGCGGUAAGAAUGCAACGUCAGCAACAAC